UACGGAGGGUGCAAGCGUUGUCCGGAAUUACUGGGCGUAAAGCGUGCGUAGACGGUUAUUUAAGUCGGGUGUGAAAGCCCCGGGCUCAACCUGGGAAUUGCAUUCGAGACUGAAUAGCUAGGGUACGGUAGAGGGAAGCGGAAUUUCCGGUGUAGCGGUGAAAUGCGUAGAUAUCGGAAGGAACACCAGUGGCGAAGGCGGCUUUCUGGCCCGUUCUUGACGCUGAGGCGCGAAAGCUAGGGUAGCAAACGGG
rnacentral:rRNA from 1 species